rnacentral:rRNA from 2 species
ACACAUGCAGUCGAGCGGAACGAUCCUAGCUUGCUAGGAGGCGUCGAGCGGCGGACGGGUGAGUAACGCAUAGGAAUCUGCCCGAUAGUGGGGGAUAACCUGAGGAAACUCAGGCUAAUACCGCAUACGUCCUACGGGAGAAAGCAGGGGCUCUUCGGACCUUGCGCUAUCGGAUGAGCUUAUGUCGGAUUAGCUGGUUGGUGAGGUAACGGCUCACCAAGGCGACGAUCCGUAGCUGGUCUGAGAGGAUGAUCAGCCACAUCGGGACUGAGACACGGCCCGAACUCCUACGGGAGGCAGCAGUGGGGAAUAUUGGACAAUGGGGGCAACCCUGAUCCAGCCAUGCCGCGUGUGUGAAGAAGGCCCUCGGGUUGUAAAGCACUUUCAGCGAGGAAGAAGGCUUGUCGGUUAAUACCCGGCAAGGGAGACAUCACUCGCAGAAGAAGCACCGGCUAACUCCGUGCCAGCAGCCGCGGUAAUACGGAGGGUGCGAGCGUUAAUCGGAAUUACUGGGCGUAAAGCGUGCGUAGGCGGCUUGAUAAGCCGGUUGUGAAAGCCCCGGGCUCAACCUGGGAACGGCAUCCGGAACUGUCAGGCUAGAGUGCAGGAGAGGAAGGUAGAAUUCCCGGUGUAGCGGUGAAAUGCGUAGAGAUCGGGAGGAAUACCAGUGGCGAAGGCGGCCUUCUGGACUGACACUGACGCUGAGGUACGAAAGCGUGGGUAGCAAACAGGAUUAGAUACCCUGGUAGUCCACGCCGUAAACGAUGUCGACUAGCCGUUGGGGUCCUCGAGACCUUUGUGGCGCAGUUAACGCACUAAGUCGACCGCCUGGGGAGUACGGCCGCAAGGUUAAAACUCAAAUGAAUUGACGGGGGCCCGCACAAGCGGUGGAGCAUGUGGUUUAAUUCGAUGCAACGCGAAGAACCUUACCUACC